rnacentral:rRNA from 1 species
GUAGGUGGCAAGCGUUGUCCGGAAUUAUUGGGCGUAAAGCGCGCGCAGGCGGUUCUUUAAGUCUGAUGUGAAAGCCCACGGCUCAACCGUGGAGGGUCAUUGGAAACUGGAGUACUUGAGUACAGAAGAGGAAAGCGGAAUUCCACGUGUAGCGGUGAAAUGCGUAGAGAUGUGGAGGAACACCAGUGGCGAAGGCGGCUUUCUGGUCUGUAACUGACGCUGAGGCGCGAAAGCGUGGGGAGCAAACAGGGAUUAGAUACCCUGGUAGUCCACGCCGUAAACGAUGAGUGCUAAGUGUUAGGGGGUUUCCCGCCCCUUAGUGCUGCAGCUAACGCAUUAAGCACUCCGCCUGGGGAGUACGGCCGCAAGGCUG